AGAACAAAGCACAAUAGCUCUGGAGUUCAAUUUACAUUCUCAGUCAGUGAAACAAAAUGGAAAUAAAAACCAGUUGUGAGAGAGUCACUUAUAACCACUCCACAGCUCCAAAAGUGCCUUUCCUAGUGUGUCAUGGAAGAAAAGACUUUUUUUUUAAAGCCACCAGAGAAAAGCUGAAGUGACCAAAAAAGGAGAGCGCUGCCAGGCACUAACCACUCCGUGUGGUCCUGGGAAGUUUCCACACAAGCAACUCAGGUUUUCUGGACCAGGCUUCCUAGAUGACUGCGGAGCUUGGGUAACGUCCCAGCACGGAGGUUUCCAGAUCCCACACAGAUGGCAGCAGGACCAGAUGAAGAGGCUGGGCUGCAAGCUAGUCGCACGUUCUCUCACAUCAGUAGUUACGGUGAAAAGUUUGCUGCUCCAUUGGUGCCCAGUGUGGCCAUUCCGUGUAUCAUCUUCCUCUUCCAACUGCUGGGCCAACACCCUGAAACAUUUCUGAGUUCCCGGGUCAAGUCUGUGCCCACAGAGAAUGCUGGGUUUUGUUUGUUUCUGUAGAGCCUCUCCCACAUUGUGGCUCUGUUUUGUAGACCUGUUUCUACUAUUAUAUACACUUCCUGAGGGCAUACAGAAUCACAGGCUGGUUUUUGGAAGGGAGGUUUUCAGCCUCGUGUGUGGUGUGGAACUGUGUAAAUCUGUGGCUUGUGAAGUAUUUACAGAAGGUCAUUAAUGUUAUAAUCCAGAGUAAAUACGGUGACUUUACAUUUA